UUUUCGCUUGUUUUUAGCAUAAUGUUUGCAUGUUGAGCAUGUUAUUUUAUUUAUUCCAGCUUUGUACAUAGACGAGUUGCAUCAAGUCCAGGCAAGGGACAUGCAGAAAUUCUACCCCUGUCGUUGUCCAGCGUGACAGUCUGACCGUCAAAGCAUGCAUUUCCUGAAAAUGACUGCUGAGGAGCAGCAUGAGUCUCCAGAUGAGGAGGAGAUCAAUUAUUUGAGAAAAACAAUCAUUGACAUCGAUGAUCCUGGUCAGAGGUUCAGGAAAAGGAGACGGGUCUGAUGAGGAAUAUAUUCCUCACCUUUGUUUAUGGACAACUUCAGACUUCGAGAACUUCCAAAAUCACAUCCUGAUGUAUGCAGGGAAGCAUUUUGGCUUUAGCCCACCUGUAUACACAGCUCAGACGUUGCUUGCAGAGUAAAAUAAUUCACCGACAUAAUUUCUUGUUCAUGUCUUGUCACAUCCCUAAAUAAAUGUUGCUGUAAUUGCAAAUGAUCUGAUUAUCACAACCUGUUUUCUCAUAACUUCUCACUUGAAUCAAAAUCUCUGGGAAAUUCUCUGCAUUUGGUGUUUUUCACAAUGAAUAUAAAUCGGAAUCGGAAAGAUAUAUAUUUUUUUUAUUCUGUAAACAAGGACAGAACUCAACAUUUCUGACUUGUACAUGAUAAAAUGUAUAAAAAUAAAAACUAUUUACAUUGAAAGUAAACACUGUUAUUCACACCAGCCAGUGCAAAAGAAAUCCCGUGUACUGGUUGUUUGGAAGAUUACAGAUAGGUUUCCUGACCCAAACUACACAGCUUGGGAUGACGACCUGAUUUCCUUCCGCAUGCCGCAACUCUCAGCUCCACUUCAGGCUUCUGGUGGUCAUCGUGGCGAAGAUGUCGUACCAGGCAGUCCGGGCCGGCCACAAAACCCCCUCUUCUAAUAUAAAAUACUGUAUGUGUGCCAUAUGAUUACUUAUGCAGAGCUUCUCCAGGUCUGUGGGCAUGUCCCUGCAGUUUGUGCAGAUGCACCAGUGCAGCUGGGGUUCAUCUGGACCACCUGGACUUGGACGCUCAAGUAACGCCAUCACAUCAAACACCCGGCCUGGCAGUCUGGUCACGACCUGCCCCAGAAAGGUUUUCAUCUGUGGUGGAGUCAGGGCCUUCAGUUUAUCCUACAACAUAAAGCAUUUAUUUGAUAUUUUAUGUUAUUGUACGAGAUUGCAUUACGAGAUUUCCUGGAUGACAUGAGUUAUCUAACCCAGCUAACAAAUAAAUAAAUGUUACGCCAGAGAGUUGCCUUUGUAAUUGUCUUUCCACAGCCAAACUUUAUUUUUUUACCCUUAGAAACACGUCUACC